rnacentral:rRNA from 1 species
CCUACGGGUGGCAGCAGUGAGGAAUAUUGGUCAAUGGCCGCGAGGCUGAACCAGCCAAGUCGCGUGAGGGAAGAAUGUCCUAUGGAUUGUAAACUUCUUUUGUCAGGGAGCAAAGUCACCCACGUGUGGGUGUUGGAGAGUACCUUAAGAAAAAGCAUCGGCUAACUCCGUUCCAGCAGCCGCGGUAAUACGGGGGAUUCGAGCGUUAUCCGGGUUUAUUGGGUUGAAUGGGUGCGUAGGCGGGUUAUCAAGUCAGCGGUAAAAUCGUGGAGCUAAACUGCAUCCAGCCGUUGAAACUGAUGAUCUUGAGUGGGCGAGAGGUAUGCGGAAGGCGUGGUGUAGCGGUGAAAUGCAUAGAUAUCACGAAGAACUCCGAUUGCGAAGGCAGCAUACCGGCGCCCGACUGACGCUGAAGCACGAAAGCGUGGGUAUCGAACAGGAUUAGAUACCCCUGUAGUC